rnacentral:rRNA from 1 species
UACGGAGGGAGCUAGCGUUGUUCGGAAUUACUGGGCGUAAAGCGCACGUAGGCGGCGAUUCAAGUCAGAGGUGAAAGCCCGGGGCUCAACCCCGGAACUGCCUUUGAAACUAGAUCGCUAGAAUUCUGGAGAGGCGAGUGGAAUUCCGAGUGUAGAGGUGAAAUUCGUGGAUAUUCGGAAGAACACCAGUGGCGAAGGCGGCUCGCUGGACAGACAUUGACGCUGAGGUGCGAAAGCGUGGGGAGCAAACAGG